rnacentral:ncRNA from 2 species
CCGUUCUCAACGGGGUGCCUGCAAAAGGCUGAGAUAAACCCGUCGAACCUGAUUCGGUUAAUACCGACGUAGGGAUUUGAGAGGCUGCUACGC